AGUGAACGCUGGCGGCGUGCCUAAUACAUGCAAGUCGAACGGAGUGGCGCACGGGUGAGUAAUAUAUAGCUAAUCUGCCCCUUGCUGGAGGACAACAGUUAGAAAUGCCUUCUAAUACUCCAUAGCAAGGGAUGGGACUCUAUCGUAUCAGCUAGUCGGUGGGGUAACGGCCUACCGAGGCUAUGACGCGUAACUGGUCUGAGAGGAGGAUCAGUCACAUUGGAACGGAGACACGGUCCAAACUCCUACGGGAGGCAGCAGUAGGGAAUAUUGCGCAAUGGGGGAAACCCUGACGCAGCAACGCCGCGUGGAGGAUGACACGUUUCGGAGCGUAAACUCCUUUUGGUAGGGAAGCGGUACCUAACGAAUAAGCAACGGCUAACUCCGUGCCAGCAGCCGCGGUAAUAC
rnacentral:rRNA from 1 species